AAGAUCAUACUUCACAGGAUCAUUUCUGUAGUGUGCAUCGUCUCCUCCAGGUGCAAAUCUGGAGUCGUCAUCGACCACGAUGAUGAGACUAAUCCAUCUACUUGAGCGUGAGAUCACUGGUUAUCUUUCGUUCUGCGAGCAUGAUAAUCUAGCAACGAUGAUCGCUUACGGUUCGCCGGUUGGUGGGUGGACAGCCUGAGUGGU